AGAAUCAACGCUGGCGGCGUGCCUAACACAUGCAAGUCGAACGAGAAAGUGGAGCAAUCCACAAGUAAAGUGGCGCACGGGUGAGUAACACGUGACUAACCUACCCUUGAGUGGGGGGAUAACCUAGAGAAAUCUGGGCUAAUACCGCAUAAUACCUUCGGGUCAAAGGAGCAAUUCGCUUAAGGAGGGGGUCGCGGCCGAUUAGUUAGUUGGCGGGGUAAUGGCCACCCCCAAGACUAUGAUCGGUA
rnacentral:rRNA from 1 species